UCAGAGGAAGGAGAACAGCCCCUGCCAGGGCCUCACUCUGCUCUCCCUGAAGGACGAUUCUGAAGAGACUUUGUUAAGAACUCACCAAGACCCAGGAGGCUGAGGUAUUUGGGGGACAUGGUGCUGCUUCUAUUGGACUGGAGGUAGGAGCUGAGCAAAGCUGACAAGUUCACAGGAUGUGGUGGGCCGGAUCCCCACACCACAGUUUGUACAGUUCACAUGGUGCCAGUCACACAGGAAGAUGACCAACUUCUCCCCCUAAAGAUGGACUGAUGUUGAUUGGUGCUGUGGCCACAAGGUGAUCAGUGUCCUGAACUGGAAAUUAAACCAUGACCACACCCUCCUUAAGUGGAUAGACAGACAGAAAGAUGCCCAGAUGGACAGACGUGUUCUGAUCCUAAGAAGAGAAAGGUAAAGAAUAAUGGACUGAGAAGUGAUCAUUGAAGGCAGAAUGAUUGGACACGUGGAGAAGCUGUGCUGUGGUGAGGGUUUGGGCUGGGAGAACUCACCUUGCCAUCCAUCAUUUAGUCUUUCUUGGGCUCUGUUUCCGUAAUGGCAGCAUCUGAGAGUGGAAGGAGUAGUCAAGACUCUUCAGAGGUCUCUUAUAUCAUAGACAUCAAGGCCAGAAAAAUGUAGUGGUGUGCCCGAGGUAGCUCAGGCUGCUUACCCCACUACGUUAAAAAAAACCCACAUACAGCCACAGGCAUACAUUGAAUGCUCCAAGGUAUUGUCCAAACUCAUUGUCCUCCUCCUAUAUCCUCAUUUAGAAACUAACUCCUUUCUCAGGUCAGUGGAUUCCCAAGAGUUGAGGAAGAGAUGGAGGAGAGAUGGGGGUGGUUGGUGAGUUGAGGGAAAGGACAAGGGUCGCAUUGGUCUCUCUAGAAGAUCUUCCAUCAUGGAUCUCAGCAUCAAAACCACAGAUCGGCUCACAAGAAGUGAACAGGCAUCUUUGUGCCCCAAUCACACCUCCUACUCUGCCCAGAUGACACUGUCCUCUCCUCCUUCAGACUUAAAGAUUUUUUGAAGAACACCAGUGACAAAAAGGAGCAGCAAUGAAAAUGCCAGUGGAGAUGAAGGCUAUGGAGAGUCCAAUGGGAAUGUACAGCUUGCUGAAGUGUCCUUGAGGAAGAUGUGCUUCUGUCAAUAAAAAAUGACA